rnacentral:lncRNA from 1 species
ACAAAAUUUAAGGUAAGACCCAAAAUCUAUUACUUGGGAGGCAAGGUAAGGGUUUCACCCUUUACCAAAAUUUCAAAACUUAAGGUCCAAGAAACCCUAAUUUCGAAAUUCUUGGCCUAGAGGGUUUAAUUUCCAUAAACCAUAAUUUUAUCAAUUCAACCAUUAUAGAAAAUUAAUCAUAAAACAAGCCAAGCUCUAAUACCAUUGAUAAGUUUUAUGCAAAACAAACAAAAACUUAAACUCUUAAGUGUGCAUGCAACCCUAAUAAAGAUCUAUGUUUUCUCUAUUGAAUCUAUAACUAUGAACAUCAAAAGGAAACCCCAAGAAGGCUAUGCUAUUUUCGAAAAUACAAAAUUAGGGUUAAGGAUUACAUACCUUGAUUUUUAUUGUAGUAAAUAACAAUAAACACCUUCUUGUUGAUCCCUUGGAAGCAAGCACUACAAUUGUCGUGCCUCUAAUGAAAUCAUAGAUCUAUUACUUGGGAGGCAAGGUAAGGGUUUCACCCUUUACCAAAAUUUCAAAACUUAAGGUCCAAGAAACCCUAAUUUCGAAAUUCUUGGCCUAGAGGGUUUAAUUUCCAUAAACCAUAAUUUUAUCAAUUCAACCAUUAUAGAAAAUUAAUCAUAAAACAAGCCAAGCUCUGAUACCAUUGAUAAGUUUUAUGCAAAACAAACAAAAACUUAAACUCUUAAGUGUGCAUGCAACCCUAAUAAAGAUCUAUGUUUUCUCUAUUGAAUCUAUAACUAUGAACAUCAAAAGGAAACCCCAAGAAGGCUAUGCUAUUUUCGAAAAUACAAAAUUAGGGUUAAG